rnacentral:rRNA from 1 species
AGAGUUUGAUCAUGGCUCAGGACGAACGCUGGCGGCGUGCCUAAUACAUGCAAGUCGAACGAACCGCGACUGAGUGCUUGCACUUGGUCAAGGUGAGUGGCGAACGGGUGAGUAACACGUGGGUAACCUACCUCAUAGUGGGGGAUAACAGUCGGAAACGACUGCUAAUACCGCAUAGGACAUAGGAUCACAUGAUCCAGUGAGGAAAGGUGGCGCAAGCUAUCGCUAAGAGAUGGACCCGCGGUGCAUUAGCUAGUUGGUAGGGUAACGGCCUACCAAGGCGAUGAUGCAUAGCCGACCUGAGAGGGUGAUCGGCCACAUUGGGACUGAGACACGGCCCAAACUCCUACGGGAGGCAGCAGUAGGGAAUCUUCCGCAAUGGACGCAAGUCUGACGGAGCAACGCCGCGUGAGUGAAGAAGGUCUUCGGAUCGUAAAGCUCUGUUGUUAGAGAAGAACAGCGCAUAGAGUAACUGCUAUGCGUGUGACGGUAUCUAACCAGAAAGCCACGGCUAACUACGUGCCAGCAGCCGCGGUAAUACGUAGGUGGCGUGCGUUGUCCGGAUUUAUUGGGCGUAAAGGGAGUGUAGGCGGUCUUUUAAGUCUGAUGUGAAAGCCCACGGCUCAACCGUGGAGGGUCAUUGGAAACUGGGAGACUUGAGUGCAGAAGAGGAGAGCGGAAUUCCAUGUGUAGCGGUGAAAUGCGUAGAUAUAUGGAGGAACACCAGUGGCGAAGGCGGCUCUCUGGUCUGU